GAUCCCUGGCGGCCUGGCUGUCGGGGUGAGAGUGGCGAACGGGUGAGUAAUGCGUGACCAACCUGCCCUGUGCACCGGAAUAGCUCCUGGAAACGGGUGGUAAUACCGGAUGCUCCGCUCCACCGCAUGGUGGGGUGGGAAAUGCUUUUUUGCGGCAUGGGAUGGGGUCGCGUCCUAUCAGCUUGUUGGCGGGGUGAUGGCCCACCAAGGCGUUGACGGGUAGCCGGCCUGAGAGGGUGACCGGCCACAUUGGGACUGAGAUACGGCCCAGACUCCUACGGGAGGCAGCAGUGGGGAAUAUUGCACAAUGGGCGCAAGCCUGAUGCAGCGACGCCGCGUGCGGGAUGGAGGCCUUCGGGUUGUAAACCGCUUUUGUUCAAGGGCAAGGCAGGCUUUCGGGUCNUGUUGAGUGGAUUGUUCGAAUAAGCACCGGCUAACUACGUGCCAGCAGCCGCGGUAAUACGUAGGGUGCGAGCGUUAUCCGGAUUUAUUGGGCGUAAAGGGCUCGUAGGCGGUUCGUCGCGUCCGGUGUGAAAGUCCAUCGCCUAACGGUGGAUCUGCGCCGGGUACGGGCGGGCUGGAGUGCGGUAGGGGAGACUGGAAUUCCCGGUGUAACGGUGGAAUGUGUAGAUAUCGGGAAGAACACCAAUGGCGAAGGCAGGUCUCUGGGCCGUCACUGACGCUGAGGAGCGAAAGCGUGGGGAGCGAACAGGAUUAGAUACCCUGGUAGUCCACGCCGUAAACGGUGGAUGCUGGAUGUGGGGCCCUUUCCACGGGUCCCGUGUCGGAGCCAACGCGUUAAGCAUCCCGCCUGGGGAGUACGGCCGCAAGGCUAAAACUCAAAGAAAUUGACGGGGGCCCGCACAAGCGGCGGAGCAUGCGGAUUAAUUCGAUGCAACGCGAAGAACCUUACCUGGGCUUGAC
rnacentral:rRNA from 1 species